AAAAAAAUGAGUUUGAUCCUGGCUCAGAAUGAACGCUAGCAGUAUGCUUAACACAUGCAAGUUGAUCGAUUUACGUAGCAGACGGGUGAGUAUAAUAUAGUAAUUUACCUUUUAUUAUAUUAAAAAUAUAUAAUGCUUAUACAUACGUGUAUAGCAAAAAUUUUCAUAGAUAAUAGAUGAUACUAUAUAAGAUUAGAUUGUUAUAGGAGUAACAUCCCUUUAAGUCUAAAAUCUUUAGUCGGUCUUAUCGGAUGGUCGGCCACAGUGGGACUGAGACAAGGCCCACACUCUUUGAGGCAGCAGUGAGGAAUUUUGGACAAUGGGCGAAAGCUUGAUCCAGUGAUAUUGUGUGAAGGAAGAUGGUAAAAUAUUGUAAACUUCUUUUUAUAGAAAAAAUAAUGUUAAUUACUAUAGAAUAAGUUCUGGCUAAUUCCGUGCCAGCAGCCGCGGUAACACGGGGGGAACAAGCGUUAUUCAGUUUUACUAGGCGUAAAGCGCGUUAAAAUUGUUUAGAAAAACAAUAAUAUAAAGCAAUUUACCCAAUAAUUGAAAUAUUGUAUUUAAUAACUAGAGUUUUACUAAAGAUUAUGGAAUUUUUAAAGGAGGGAUGAAAUCCGUAGAUAUUAAAAGGAACAUCAAGAGCGAAGGCAAUAAUCUAUAUAAAAACUGACAUUUAAACGCUAAGGUAUAGGGAGCAAACAGGAUUAGAGACCCUGGUAGUCUAUACUGUAAACUAUGGAUAUUAAUUUUUGGUUAAAACCAGAAAAUAAGCUAACGCGUAAAUAUCUCGCCUGAGGAGUACGAUCGCAAGAUUGAAAUUCAAAGGAAUUGACGGGGACUCACACAAGCGGUGGAGUAUGUGGUUUAAUUCGAUUUAGCACGAAAAAUCUUACCAGUUCUUGAUAUAUAGCACUCUACAAUAAAAGAAAUUUUUUUGCUUAGUUAUACAGGUGCUGCAUGGCUGUCGUCAGUUCGUGUCGUGAGAUCUUUGAUUAAUUUCUUGAAACGGACGAAACCCUUAGAGCUAAUGAUUACCAAUAAUUAGUUAUACUGCUUGUAAAAACAAGAGGGAGGUAAGGAUGACGUCAAGUCCGCAUGGCCCUUAUGAACUGGGCUACACACGUACUACAAUGGUAUUAAACAAUAGGUUACAAUUAAGAAAUUAGUAGUUAUGCCAUAAAAAAUGCCCUAGUUCGGAUUGGUUUCUGUAAUUUGAAAACAUGAAGUUGGAAUCGCUAGUAAUCGCGGAUAAGAAGACCGCGGUGAAUUUGUACUCGAGUCUUGUACACACUGCCCGUCACACGCUGGAAAUUUUUUUUGCUUGAAUAAUUUAAAUAUUAAUUAUAGGGUAAGGAAAGUAACUAGGGUUAAGUCGUAACAAGGUAGCCGUAGGGGAACCUGUGGCUGAAUUAAAAUUUAA
rnacentral:rRNA from 1 species